GGAGAGGUGGCUGAGUGGUCGAAAGCAUCAGUCUUGAAAACUGACGAGGGAGCAAUUCCUCCGUGGGUUCGAAUCCCACCCUCUCCGCCA
rnacentral:tRNA from 1 species